rnacentral:rRNA from 1 species
CCUACGGGGUGCUGCAGUGGGGAAUAUUGGACAAUGGGCGAAAGCCUGAUCCAGCCAUGCCGCGUGUGUGAAGAAGGCCUUCGGGUUGUAAAGCACUUUCAGUGGGGAAGAAAGCCUUGGGGCUAAUACCCUCGAGGAAGGACAUCACCCACAGAAGAAGCACCGGCUAACUCCGUGCCAGCAGCCGCGGUAAUACGGAGGGUGCGAGCGUUAAUCGGAAUUACUGGGCGUAAAGCGCGCGUAGGCGGUCUGAUAAGCCGGUUGUGAAAGCCCCGGGCUCAACCUGGGAACGGCAUCCGGAACUGUCAGGCUAGAGUGCAGGAGAGGAAGGUAGAAUUCCCGGUGUAGCGGUGAAAUGCGUAGAGAGCGGGAGGAAUACCAGUGGCGAAGGCGGCCUUCUGGACUGACACUGACGCUGAGGUGCGAAAGCGUGGGUAGCAAACAGGAUUAGAUACCCCAGUAGUC